rnacentral:rRNA from 1 species
UACGGGGGGAGCAAGUGUUGUCCGGAUUUACUGGGCGUAAAGAGCGUGUAGGCGGCCACGCAGGUCCGUUGUGAAAACUGGAGGCUCAACCUCCAGCUGUCGACGGAAACCGUAUGGCUAGAGUCCGGAAGAGGAGAGUGGAAUUCCUGGUGUAGCGGUGAAAUGCGCAGAUAUCAGGAAGAACACCAAUGGCGAAGGCAGCUCUCUGGGACGGUACUGACGCUGAGACGCGAAAGCGUGGGGAGCGAACAGG